UCCGAAAAUGAACGGGGCUCAAAUCAGGCACCGAAGCGAUGGAUUAUGGUAACUACCAUAGUGGUAGGGGAGCAAUCCCUGUGGAGCGAAGCUGCAUUGUAAGGUGUGGUGGACUGCAGGGAAGAGAGAAUGUUGGCAUGAGUAGCGAAAGUGAAGUGAGAAUCUUCACCAUCGAAAGCCCAAGGUUUCCUGAGGAAGGCUCGUCCGCUCAGGGUAAGUCGGGGCCUAAGCCGAGGCCGGAAGGCGUAGGCGAUGGACAACUGGUUGAAAUUCCAGUACUAGCGUGAUGCGCUAUAAGAGAAGGAGUGACACAGAAGGGCAAGCGAACCCGGCCGAUGGUAGACGCGGGCCAAGCAGUGAGGCUGAUCGAGGAGGCAAAUCCCCUUGGUUAUAAGGCUGGGCUGUGAUGGGGAACGAAAAACAAGUAGGGAAGUCGCCGCACUCACACUGUCAAGAAAAGCUUCUAUCAAGUAUCAUGCUACCCGUACCGUAAACCGACACAGGUAGGCGAGGAGAGAAUCCUAAGAUGAGCGGGAGAAGUGUUGUUAAGGAACUCGGCAAAAUGACUCCGUAACUUCGGGAGAAGGAGUGCCUCGGAAGAGGCCGCAGAGAAGAGGCUCAAGCGACUGUUUAGCAAAAACACAGGUCUCUGCUAAAUCGAAAGAUGACGUAUAGGGGCUGACGCCUGCCCGGUGCUGGAAGGUUAAGGGGAGUGCUUAGCGCAAGCGAAGGUGCGAACUUAAGCCCCAGUAAACGGCGGCCGUAACGAUAACGGUCCUAAGGUAGCGAAAUUCCUUGUCAGGUAAGUUCUGACCCGCACGAAAGGCGUAACGAUUUGAGCGCUGUCUCGACAACACACCCGGUGAAAUUGUAGUACUCGUGAAGAUGCGAGUUACCCGCGACAGGACGGAAAGACCCCGUAGAGCUUUACUGCAAUCUGGCAUUGGAUUUUGAUAUAACAUGUACAGGAUAGGUGGGAGGCAGAGAACCAUGUGCGCCAGCAUGUGGGGAGCCACCCUUGGGAUACCACCCCUGUUAUAUUGGAAUUCUAACGAGUGGCUGUAAUCCAGCCAUCGGACAGUGUCAGAUGGGCAGUUUGACUGGGGCGGUCGCCUCCUAAAAAGUAUCGGAGGCGCCUAAAGUUACCCUCAGGAUGGUUGGAAACCAUCUGUAAGAGUGCAAAGGCAGAAGGGUGAUUGACUGCGAGAGAGACAUCUCGAGCAGGGACGAAAGUCGAGCUUAGUGAUCCGGUGGUCCCGAGUGGAAGGGCCAUCGUUCAACGGAUAAAAGCUACCUCGGGGAUAACAGGCUUAUCUCCCCCAAGAGUCCACAUCGACGGGGAGGUUUGGCACCUCGAUGUCGGCUCGUCUCAUCCUGGGGCUGAAGCAGGUCCCAAGGGUUGGGCUGUUCGCCCAUUAAAGAGGCACGCGAGCUGGGUUCAGAACGUCGUGAGACAGUUCGGUCCCUAUCCGUCGUGGGCGCAAGAAAUUUGAGAGGAGCUGUUCCUAGUACGAGAGGACCGGAACGGACGAACCUCUGGUGCAUCGGUUGUCCUGCCAAGGGCAUAGCCGGGUAGCCAAGUUCGGACGGGAUAGUGCUGAAGGCAUCUAAGCACGAAGCCCCCCUUAAA
rnacentral:rRNA from 1 species